rnacentral:RNase_P_RNA from 1 species
UCGGCUGGUAAGGGUGAAAUGGUGCGGUAAGAGCGCACCGCGCCGGUGGUAACACGGGGCGGCAUGGUAAACCCCACCCGGAGCAAGACCAAAUAGGGGAACCAGCGUUUCGCGAUGCGUGGCCCGCGCAGUUCCCGGGUAGGUCGCUCGAGGUACAUGGCGACAUGUAUCCCAGAUGAAUGGCUGUCCACGACAGAACCCGGCUUAUCGGCCGGCUCUCCUG